rnacentral:rRNA from 1 species
CCCUUCGGGGACGAAGAGACAGGUGGUGCAUGGUUGUCGUCAGCUCGUGUCGUGAGAUGUUGGGUUAAGUCCCGCAACGAGCGCAACCCUUGCCUUUAGUUGCCAUCAUUAAGUUGGGCACUCUAGAGGGACUGCCUGGAUAACCUGGAAGAAGGUGGGGAUGACGUCAAAUCAUCAUGCCCCUUAUGCUUAGGGCUACACACGUGCUACAAUGGGUGGUACAGAGGGCAGCCAAGUCGUGAGGCGGAGCUAAUCCCUUAAAGCCAUUCUCAGUUCGGAUUGUAGGCUGAAACUCGCCUACAUGAAGCUGGAGUUACUAGUAAUCGCAGAUCAGAAUGCUGCGAAUGAAUGUCUUUCCCGGGUCUUGUACACACCG